GACGAACCGUGCGAACGUUAUUCGGAAUCAUUGGGCUUAAAGGGCGCGUAGACGGGCUGUCGCGUCGAAGGCUGAAAGCCCCGGGCUCAACCUGGGAAUUGCAUUCGAGACUGCGUAGCUAGGGUGCGGAAGAGGGAAGCGGAAUUUCCGGUGUAGCGGUGAAAUGCGUAGAUAUCGGAAGGAACACCAGUGGCGAAAGCGGCUUCCUGGUCCAGCACCGACGUUCAGGCACGAAAGCGUGGGGAGCAAACAGG
rnacentral:rRNA from 1 species